UUGUAAUUUGCWGAGGANGUCUCGGGGGCGACACCGGUUUAAGUUCCUUGGAACAGGGCGUCAUGGAGGGUGAGAAUCCCGUACGUGACCGGUCGUCAACCCCAUGUGAGGCCCCUUCNACGAGUCGAGUUGUUUGGGAAUGCAGCUCUAAAUGGGUGGUAAAUUUCAUCUAAAGCUAAAUACCGGCCAGAGACCGAUAGCGCACAAGUAGAGUGAUCGAAAGAUGAAAAGCACUUUGGAAAGAGAGUUAAACAGUACGUGAAAUUGUUGAAAGGGAAGCGCUUGCNGCCAGACUUGCUCGCGGGUGAUCAACCGUCCUUCGGGGCGGUGCACUGAUCCGCGAUCAGGCCAGCAUCGGUUUCGGCGGCCAGAUAAAAGGUCCGGGAACGUGGCUCCCCCCGGGGAGUGUUAUAGNCCGUUCCACCAUGUGGCCCGCCGGGACCGAGGACCGCGCUUCGGCUAGGAUGUUGGCGUAAUGGCUGUCAGCGACCCGUCUUGAAACACGGACCAAGGAGUCGAUCAGCGACGCGAGUCUUUGGGUGCCAAACCCACAGGCGUAAUGAAAGUGAACGGAGGUGGGAACCCUCUCGGGGGUGCACCAUCGACCGAUCCUGAAGUCUUCGGAUGGAUUUGAGUACGAGCGCCGCUGAUCGGACCCGAAAGAUGGUGAACUAUGCGUGAAUAGGGUGAAGCCAGAGGAAACUCUGGUGGAGGCUCGCAGCGGUUCUGACGUGCAAAUCGAUCGUCAAAUUUGCGUAUAGGGGCGAAAGACUAAUCGAACCAUC
rnacentral:rRNA from 1 species